rnacentral:tRNA from 1 species
UCCUCGAUGGUCUAGUGGUAAUGAUAGCACGUUCUCACCGUGUUGGCCCGGGUUCGAUUCCAACAUGUUAUACCCGGUCGAGGAU